UCCGGUUCAUCACCGGCAGUCUCCUUAGAGUCCCCGACUUAACUCGCUGGUAACUAAGGACAAGGGUUGCGCUCGUUACGGGACUUAACCCAACAUCUCACAACACGAGCUGACGACAGCCAUGCAGCACCUGUCUCUGCGCUCCUUUCGGCACUCCCAACUUUCAUCAGGAUUCGCAGGAUGUCAAGGGUAGGUAAGGUUCUUCGCGUUGCAUCGAAUUAAACCACAUGCUCCACCGCUUGUGCGGGCCCCCGUCAAUUUCUUUGAGUUUCAACCUUGCGGCCGUACUUCCCAGGCGGAAGACUUAUCGCGUUAGCUUCAAUACCGAUAGGUUCCCCUACCAACAUUUAGUCUUCAUCGUUUACAGCGUGGACUAC
rnacentral:misc_RNA from 1 species